GUACAAAACAAACAGAGGAAUUAGUAUAACGCUCGGGAAAGGUGAGAAAGUCUUUUACGUUUCGAGCCUCCGCUUUUCGGCAGAAAGGAACACUGGAAUAAACAUGGAGAGAAAUUAAAGAAAAGUUCCGUGGUUAGCGAUUUAUCAUGGCGA